rnacentral:misc_RNA from 1 species
AUUACGCGUGGAUGCCGAGGCCGCAUUGAAACACUUGAAGGACGAUGCCGGCCGCACCUUCCGCCACGGCACCACUGGUGCAGUGUAGUUUUCGCUGCGCUUAUGCCGUGU